GACGAACGCUGGCGGCGUGCCUAAUACAUGCAAGUAGAACGCUGAAGGAGGAGCUUGCUUCUCUGGAUGAGUUGCGAACGGGUGAGUAACGCGUAGGUAACCUGCCUGGUAGCGGGGGAUAACUAUUGGAAACGAUAGCUAAUACCGCAUAAUAGUAGAUGUUGCAUGACAUUUGCUUAAAAGGUGCAAUUGCAUCACUACCAGAUGGACCUGCGUUGUAUUAGCUAGUUGGUGAGGUAACGGCUCACCAAGGCGACGAUACAUAGCCGACCUGAGAGGGUGAUCGGCCACACUGGGACUGAGACACGGCCCAGACUCCUACGGGAGGCAGCAGUAGGGAAUCUUCGGCAAGGGACGGAAGUCUGACCGAGCAACGCCGCGUGAGUGAAGAAGGUUUUCGGAUCGUAAAGCUCUGUUGUAAGAGAAGAACGAGUGUGAGAGUGGAAAGUUCACACUGUGACGGUAUCUUACCAGAAAGGGACGGCUAACUACGUG
rnacentral:rRNA from 1 species